GGUCCCCAUGGGAACCCUGGCCGACCUGGUCCACCCGGGCUAAAGGGGAAAAAGGGAGACCCUGGCAUAUCACCUGUAUCAGCACCUAAAGGAGAAAAGGGAGAUUCAGGAAUGAUUGGCCUCGUUGGACAAUCUGGCCAAGCAGGUCGAAUGG